UAGGGAAUCUUCGGCAAUGGGGGCAACCCUGACCGAGCAACGCCGCGUGAGUGAAGAAGGUUUUCGGAUCGUAAAGCUCUGUUGUAAGAGAAGAACGUGUGUGAGAGUGGAAAGUUCACACAGUGACGGUAACUUACCAGAAAGGGACGGCUAACUACGUGCCAGCAGCCGCGGUAAUACGUAGGUCCCGAGCGUUGUCCGGAUUUAUUGGGCGUAAAGCGAGCGCAGGCGGUUUAAUAAGUCUGAAGUUAAAGGCAGUGGCUUAACCAUUGUUCGCUUUGGAAACUGUUAAACUUGAGUGCAGAAGGAGAGAGUGGAAUUCCAUGUGUAGCGGUGAAAUGCGUAGAUAUAUGGAGGAACACCGGUGGCGAAGGCGGCUCUCUGGUCUGUAACUGACGCUAAGGCUCGAAAGCGUGGGGAGCAAACAGG
rnacentral:rRNA from 1 species